rnacentral:rRNA from 1 species
UGCGUAACGCGUGGGAAUCUGCCCUUGGGUUCGGAAUAACGUCGGGAAACUGACGCUAAUACCGGAUGAUGACGUAAGUCCAAAGAUUUAUCGCCCAGGGAUGAGCCCGCGUAGGAUUAGCUAGUUGGUAAGGUAAAGGCUUACCAAGGCGACGAUCCUUAGCUGGUCUGAGAGGAUGAUCAGCCACACUGGGACUGAGACACGGCCCAGACUCCUACGGGAGGCAGCAGUAGGGAAUAUUGGACAAUGGGGGCAACCCUGAUCCAGCAAUGCCGCGUGAGUGAUGAAGGCCUUAGGGUUGUAAAGCUCUUUUACCCGGGAUGAUAAUGACAGUACCGGGAGAAUAAGCCCCGGCUAACUCCGUGCCAGCAGCCGCGGUAAUACGGAGGGGGCUAGCGUUGUUCGGAAUUACUGGGCGUAAAGCGCACGUAGGCGGCGAUUUAAGUCAGGGGUGAAAGCCCAGUGCUCAACACUGGAACUGCCCUUGAGACUGGAUUGCUUGAAUCACGGAGAGGUGGGUGGAAUUCCGAGUGUAGAGGUGAAAUUCGUAGAUAUUCGGAAGAACACCAGUGG